CCUACGGGUGGCAGCAGUAGGGAAUAUUGCUCAAUGGGGGAAACCCUGAAGCAGCAACGCCGCGGGGAGGAUGAAGGUUUUCGGAAUGGAAACGCCUUUUGAUAGAGAAGAGAAUGACGGUAUCUAACGAAUAAGCACCGGCUACCGCCGUGCCAGCAGCCGCGGUAAUACGGAGGGAGCAAGCGUUACCCGGAAUCACUGGGCGUAAGGAGCGCGUAGGCGGGAUAGCAAGUCAGAUGUAAAAUCCUGUGGCUUAACCCUAGACCUGCAUUUAAAAAUGGUGUUCUUAGGUUUGGGGGGGGUAGGUGAACUUCUUGGUGUGUGGGUAAAUUC
rnacentral:rRNA from 1 species